rnacentral:rRNA from 1 species
CCGGCGACCGGCGGUACGGGUGCGUAACGCGUAUGUAACCUACCUUUGACAGGGGGAUAACAUCGAGAAAUUGGUACUAAUACCCCAUAACAUCACCGGAGGCAUCUUCGGUGGUUGAAGACUCAGGUGGUCAGAGAUGGACAUGCGUUGUAUUAGCUAGUUGGUGAGGUAACGGCUCACCAAGGCGACGAUACAUAGGGGGACUGAGAGGUCAACCCCCCACAUUGGUACUGAGACACGGACCAAACUCCUACGGGAGGCAGCAG